CCCUUAGAUGUUCUGGGCCGCACGCGUGCUACACUGAGUGGAUCAGCGGGUCAGGUUGCGCGAAAGUGUUUCCUAAUCUUUAAAUCCGCUCGUGAUGGGGAUUGACGGUUGCAAUUUUCCGUCAUGAACGAGGAAUACCUUGUAAGCGCGGGUCAUCAUCCCGCGCUGAAUACGUCCCUGCCCUUUGUACACACCGCUCGUCGCUCCUACCGAUUGAGUGGUCCGGUGAGGCUUUGGGAUCUGAGCGGAAAGAGCGUUUCGCUGUUUCUGCCCGGAAAACUCAGUCGAACCUUAUCAUUUAGAGGAAGGAGAAGUCGUAACA
rnacentral:rRNA from 1 species